ACACCCUUACUCCUAUAGUAGACCAACUGUUGCCAACAUCCACUAUAAGAACUCAUUGAGAUCCAUGUUGAUGUGUCAGUCAAACUCCAACAACCUCAUUAUGAGCAGUAGUGCCAUCUCAAGUCAAAAGAUCAGUCGUACAACUACAGCAUUGAGAAAGUCACUAAUGAGUGAGCAGACAUCCAUGUGACUUCUCGUAUUGAUCACGCUCAGUGCUAGUUA
rnacentral:lncRNA from 1 species